AAACACCACGUCCGGCAAAGUCUAGCGAAUAGCCGGUACCAAGCCUUGAAUCUGAAGCCGCGAGGUCAAGAUUAAGCGUAGGCAUGGGAGCGUAAGAGCCGCAAUGCGAAAGCGUGAAGCGAUUGAGCCUCGUAAUAAACUGGAGCGGAAGCCGAUGUACUGUUGUCUACAGCAGGCAGCAAUGCGUACUCGUAAACGCGAGAGUGCGCAGGUUCCGCCGGGGUCAGAGAGCG
rfam:Termite gut metagenome tgut2b_Contig40190, whole genome shotgun sequence.